rnacentral:rRNA from 1 species
UGGGGAAUAUUGCACAAUGGGCGCAAGCCUGAUGCAGCCAUGCCGCGUGUGUGAAGAAGGCCUUCGGGUUGUAAAGCACUUUCAGCGAGGAGGAAGGUGGUGAGCUUAAUACGCUCAUCAAUUGACGUUACUCGCAGAAGAAGCACCGGCUAACUCCGUGCCAGCAGCCGCGGUAAUACGGAGGGUGCAAGCGUUAAUCGGAAUUACUGGGCGUAAAGCGCACGCAGGCGGUUUGUUAAGUCAGAUGUGAAAUCCCCGGGCUCAACCUGGGAACUGCAUUUGAAACUGGCAAGCUAGAGUCUCGUAGAGGGGGGUAGAAUUCCAGGUGUAGCGGUGAAAUGCGUAGAGAUCUGGAGGAAUACCGGUGGCGAAGGCGGCCCCCUGGACGAAGACUGGCGCUCAGGUGCGAAAGCGUGGGGAGCAAAACAGGAUUAGAUACCCUGGUAGUCCACGCUGUAAAACGAUGUCGAUUUUGGAGGUUGUGCCCUUGAGGCGUGGCUUCCGGAGCUAACGCGUUAAAUCGACCGCCUGGGGAGUACGGCCGCAAGGUUAAAACUC